rnacentral:rRNA from 1 species
GACGGACGCUGGCGGCGUGCUUAACACUUGCAAGUCGAACGGAAAGGCCCUGCUUUUGUGGGGUGCUCGAGUGGCGAACGGGUGAGUAACACGUGAGUAACCUGCCCUUGACUUUGGGAUAACUUCAGGAAACUGGGGCUAAUACCGGAUAGGAGCUCCUGCUGCAUGGUGGGGGUUGGAAAGUUUCGGCGGUUGGGGAUGGACUCGCGGCUUAUCAGCUUGUUGGUGGGGUAGUGGCUUACCAAGGCUUUGACGGGUAGCCGGCCUGAGAGGGUGACCGGCCACAUUGGGACUGAGAUACGGCCCAGACUCCUACGGGAGGCAGCAGUGGGGAAUAUUGCACAAUGGGCGGAAGCCUGAUGCAGCAACGCCGCGUGCGGGAUGACGGCCUUCGGGUUGUAAACCGCUUUCGCCUGUGACGAAGCGUGAGUGACGGUAAUGGGUAAAGAAGCACCGGCUAACUACGUG